ACCCAGACCCGAUAGUAGCGGACACGAACCCGAUAUUUCAUCGGGUGAAGUAAAACGGAAAGCGGAACGAAAC
rnacentral:misc_RNA from 1 species